GCAGAUGUAGCUCAAUGGUAGAGCGUUCGCUUCCCAAGCCAAAAACGCGGGUUCGAUUCCCGUCAUCUGCUCCA
rnacentral:tRNA from 1 species